NUUUACUGAGAGUUUGAUCCUGGCUCAGGACGAACGCUGGCGGCGUGCCUAAUACAUGCAAGUCGUGCGGACCUUUUAAAAGCUUGCUUUUAAAAGNNNAGCGGCGGACGGGUGAGUAACACGUGGGCAACCUGCCUGUAAGAUCGGGAUAACGCCGGGUAACCGGNGCUAAUACCGGAUAGUUUUUUCCUCCGCAUGGAGGAAAAAGGAAAGACGGCUUUGGCUGUCACUUACAGAUGGGCCCNCGGCGCAUUAGCUAGUUGGUGGGGUAACGGCUCACNAAGGCAACGAUGCGUAGCCGACCUGAGAGGGUGAUCGGCCACAUUGGGACUGAGACACGGCCNNAACUCCUACGGGAGGCAGCAGUAGGGAAUCUUCCGCAAUGGACGAAAGUCUGACGGAGCAACGCUGCGUGAGUGAAGAAGGCCUUCGGGUCGUAAAACUCUGUUGCUGGGGAAGAACAAGUGCCGUUCGAACAGGCGGNNNCCUUGACGGUACCCGGCUAGAAAGCCACGGCUAACUACGUGCCAGCAGCCGCGGUAAUACGUAGGUGGCNAGCGUUGUCCGGAAUUAUUGGGCGUAAAGCGCGCGCAGGCGGCUUCUUAAGUCUGAUGUGAAAUCUUGCGGCUCAACCGCNAGCGGUCAUUGGAAACUGGGAGGCUUGAGUGCAGAAGAGGAGAGUGGAAUUCCACGUGUAGCGGUGAAAUGCGUAGAGAUGUGGAGGAACACCAGUGGCGAAGGCGGCUCUCUGGUCUGUAACUGANGCUGAGGCGCNNAAGCGUGGGGAGCAAACAGGAUUAGAUACCCUGGUAGUCCACGCNGUAAACGAUGAGUGCUAAGUGUUAGAGGGUUUCCGCCNNUUAGUGCUGCAGCNAACGCAUUAAGCACNCNGCCUGGGGAGUACGGCCGCAAGGCUGAAACUCAAAGGAAUUGACGGGGGCNNGCACAAGCGGUGGAGCAUGUGGUUUAAUUCGAAGNAACGCGAAGAACCUUACCAGGNCUUGACAUCCUCUGACCUCCCUGGAGACAGGGNCUCCCUUCGGGGGNCAGAGUGACAGGUGGUGCAUGGUUGUCGUCAGCUCGUGUCGUGAGAUGUUGGGUUAAGUCCCGCAACGAGCGCAACCCUUGACCUUAGUUGCCAGCAUUCAGUUGGGCACUCUAAGGUGACUGCCGGUGACAAACCGGAGGAAGGUGGGGAUGACGUCAAAUCAUCAUGCCCCUUAUGACCUGGGCUACACACGUGCUACAAUGGAUGGUACAAAGGGCUGCGAGACCGCGAGGUUAAGCCAAUCCCAGAAAACCAUUCCCAGUUCGGAUUGCAGGCUGCAACCCGCCUGCAUGAAGCCGGAAUCGCUAGUAAUCGCGGAUCAGCAUGCCGCGGUGAAUACGUUCCCNGGCNUUGUACACACCGNNNNUCACACCACGAGAGUUUGUAACACCCGAAGUCGGUGAGGUAACCUUUACGGAGCCAGCCGCCGAAGGUGGGACAGANGA
rnacentral:rRNA from 1 species